UAGCUUAGUUGGUUAAAGCAGCCGGCUCAUAACCGGCGGAUCGGGGGUUCGAGUCC
rnacentral:tRNA from 1 species